rnacentral:rRNA from 1 species
ACCAGCGGAGGGAUCAUUACCGAGUUUACAACUCCCAAACCCAAUGUGAACCAUACCAAACUGUUGCCUCGGCGGGGUCACGCCCCGGGUGCGUCGCAGCCCCGGAACCAGGCGCCCGCCGGAGGGACCAACCAAACUCUUUACUGUAGUCCCCUCGCGGACGUUAUUUCUUACAGCUCUGAGCAAAAAAUUCAAAAUGAAUCAAAACUUUCAACAACGGAUCUCUUGGUUCUGGCAUCGAUGAAGAACGCAGCGAAAUGCGAUAAGUAAUGUGAAUUGCAGAAUUCAGUGAAUCAUCGAAUCUUUGAACGCACAUUGCGCCCGCCAGUAUUCUGGCGGGCAUGCCUGUCCGAGCGUCAUUUCAACCCUCGAACCCCCUCCGGGGGGUCGGGGUUGGGGGAUCGGGAACCCCUCAAACGGGGAUCCGGCAUCCCGGCCCCGAAAUACAGUGGCGGUCUCGCCGCAGCCUCUCCUGCGCAGUAGUUUGCACAACUCGCACCGGGAGCGCGGCGCGUCCACGUCCGUAAAACACCCAACUUUCUGAAAUGUUGACCUCGGAUCAGGUAGGAAUACCCGCUGAACUUAAGCAUAUCAAUAAGCGGAGG